rnacentral:lncRNA from 1 species
CCGCCGAGCCCACGGCUCUUCGCACGCGCGGAAGUUCUUACCUGGGUUCCAUCGCGGCCACUCCCGGGCAGCAGCGACCGCCCGGCCUCCUCGGCGCUGGGAGCUCAGCCCUCGUUAGCCCUCAGACAAAUGAGCCCCUUAUAGUCACCAGGCUUGCAAAUCCACAGGCUCUGGAGCUUCCCUGAGGUGGGAUGGGUGCUGAGCAGCUCUGCCUCCAGCACGGUGCACCACCGCUCCUCUGCUUCACCCAAGGACAAGGCCACCAGGCUGCCUCCGUUGAAGUAAAAGGCCAGUAUCCCAACCCAUCAGGUCUACUGCGUGAGCUUUCUCAGUGCUGGGACAAAGUCCUGGAUGUAAAUGACCCAAGGAAGCGCUUAUUCUGCCUCGUGGUUUUAGAAGAAUCAGCCCACAGUUCCUAGGCCCCAGGCACUAGGGAAGAACAUGAAAGUGACAGGAGGUACGAAGAGAGGAAGGGAGCUGGGGACAAGCCCUCAACACACGCACCUGUGCCACCUUCCCUGCACAGACAAAGCUUGCUUCCGCCCAUCCUCUCCUGCCCGGCUGUUUGCCAUCAUCUGGAAGAGCAGUGCUUUGCCUACGAGGACAGAGGAGGAGGUAGAUAAGCUGAGACCCAGGGACGUCAAAAGACCCAACGCCAUACUCCACCAUGCUCCAGAUGUUCCUGCGAAUGGACGCUGCGUUUCCUGCCCUCAGCACUCUUGGUGCUCUGGGGUGAG